rnacentral:piRNA from 1 species
GGAAUAGGAACUCAUAACACACUGUAC